AUUGAACGCUGGCGGCAGGCCUAACACAUGCAAGUCGAGCGAGCGGCGGACGGGUGAGUAAUGUAUGGGGAUCUGCCUGAUGGAGGGGGAUAACUACUGGAAACGGUAGCUAAUACCGCAUACCAUCAGAUGAACCCAUAUGGGAUUAGCUUUUAGGUGAGGUAACGGCUCACCUAGGCGACGAGCCCUAGCUGGUCUGAGAGGAUGAUCAGCCACACUGGGACUGAGACACGGCCCAGACUCCUACGGGAGGCAGCAGUGGGGAAUAUUGCACCAUGGGCGCAAGCCUGAUGCAGCCAUGCCGCGUGUAUGAAGAAGGCCUUCGGGUUGUAAAGUACUUUCAGCGGGGAGGCGGUACCAGCAGAAGAAGCACCGGCUAACUCCGUGCCAGCCGCCGCGGUAAUUC
rnacentral:rRNA from 1 species